rnacentral:rRNA from 1 species
AUUGAACGCUGGCGGCAUGCUUUACACAUGCAAGUCGAACGGUAACAGGCCGCAAGGUGCUGACGAGUGGCGAACGGGUGAGUAAUGCAUCGGAACGUGCCCAGUCGUGGGGGAUAACGCAGCGAAAGCUGUGCUAAUACCGCAUACGAUCUAUGGAUGAAAGCGGGGGACCGUAAGGCCUCGCGCGAUUGGAGCGGCCGAUGUCAGAUUAGCUAGUUGGUGGGGUAAAGGCCCACCCAGGCGACGAUCUGUAGCUGGUCUGAGAGGACGACCAUCCACACUGGGACGGAGACACGGCCCAGACUCCUACGGGAGGCAGCAGUGGGGAAUUUUGGACAAUGGGCGCAAGCCUGAUCCAGCAAGGCCGCGUGCAGGAAGAAGGCCUUCGGGUUGUAAACUGCUUUUGUACGGAACGAAACGGCCUGGGUUAAUACCCUGGGCUAAUGACGGUACCGUAAGAAUAAGCACCGGCUAACUACGUGCCAGCCGCCGCGGUAACAC